UCAGUAACACGUAGUCAACAUGCCCAGGGGACGUGGAUAACCUCGGGAAACUGAGGAUAAACCGCGAUAGGUCACUACUUCUGGAAUGGGUAAUGACCCAAACCUAUAUGGCCCCUGGAUUGGACUGCGGCCGAUCAGGCUGUUGGUGAGGUAAUGGCCCACCAAACCCGUAACCGGUACGGGCUCUGAGAGGAGGAGCCCGGAGAUGAGCACUGAGACAAGGGCCCAGGCCCUAUGGGGCGCAGCAGGCGCGAAACCUCUGCAAUAGGCGAAAGCUUGACAGGGUUACUCUGAGUGAUUUCCGUUAAGGAGAUCUUUUGGCACCUCUAAAAAUGGUGCAGAAUAAGGGGUGGGCAAGUCUGGUGCCAGCC
rnacentral:rRNA from 1 species